CUGGGGAGGGAGGAGGGGGAGGGUAAGGGGAGAAGAAGAAGAGGUAGGCAGGGAGGAGGGAGAGGAGAGAAGUUAGAUUAGUGAAGGCAAGUACGUAAGGAUAGGAAAGGAAGGGGAUAGAGAUUGAAUGAGAGGAGAUCAAAGGGAAAAAAUCGAGGGAUAUUUGUAAAGUUUAAAGAAAGGAGGGUAAGAGGAGAAGAAGAAGAGGUAGGUAGGGAGGAGGGACAGCAGAGAAGUUAGAUUAGUGAAGGCAGGUAAGGAAAGGAAAGGAAGGGGAUAGAGAUUGAAUGAGAGGAGAUCAAAGGGAAAAAAUAAGGAGGGACAUUUGUAAAGUUUAACCCGGUAGCAGCGAGGGGCCAAAUUUGUGGUUUUACCGUGUAGCAGCGACGGGCCAAAUUUGUGCCAUGAUAUAAACCCCCAAAAAUAGAUGAUGCAUAAACUGAUCACAAAUGCUUUGAUAUAUAUUAUGAAAUGGUUUGUGUGAGUGAUGAUUUUUUCUCAUUUUUCUCAUUUAGAGGGACCAUUAACAAACAUGAUCCCUGCUGCUACCGGGUUAAAGAG